rnacentral:rRNA from 1 species
AUUGAACGCUGGCGGCAUGCCUUACACAUGCAAGUCGAACGGUAACAGGUCUUCGGAUGCUGACGAGUGGCGAACGGGUGAGUAAUACAUCGGAACGUGCCUAGUAGUGGGGGAUAACUGCUCGAAAGAGUGGCUAAUACCGCAUGAGAUCUACGGAUGAAAGCAGGGGAUCGCAAGACCUUGUGCUACUAGAGCGGCCGAUGGCAGAUUAGGUAGUUGGUGGGAUAAAAGCUUACCAAGCCGACGAUCUGUAGCUGGUCUGAGAGGACGAUCAGCCACACUGGGACUGAGACACGGCCCAGACUCCUACGGGAGGCAGCAGUGGGAAAUUUUGGACAAUGGGCGCAAGCCUGAUCCAGCAAUGCCGCGUGCAGGAUGAAGGCCUUCGGGUUGUAAACUGCUUUUGUACGGAACGAAAAGCCCUGGGUUAAUACCCUGGGGUCAUGACGGUACCGUAAGAAUAAGCACCGGCUAACUACGUGCCAGCCGCCGCAGUAACAC